CACUGACUGAAAGGGUUUGGAGAACUUUGAGCAUUCAGGACCUACCAGGCAUUUCACUGACAGGCUUAUAGGGAGCUGACUCUUCAGGCUACUGCAGAAGAUUGGCUGCCCUCCAUGACUGCAAGCCAUUGUUACCUCAUUCCACAAGACCAUGCACAGCAUGGUUUGCUUUAAUGGCGCAACAUCUCAGGCCUUCCCAGUUGGCAGCGGAGUCAAACAAGGCUGUGUCCUUGCACCAAUGUUCUUCGGCAUCUUCUUCUUUAUGCUCCUCCAAAACACCUUCAGGGUCUGCAGUGAGGGAGUCUACAUUCAAACCAGGGAUGAUGGCAAGCUGUUAAACAUCUUCUGUCUCCGUGCUAAAACUAAAGUUGCAGAGGUACUCAUCUGUGAUAUGCUCUUCACCGACGACACUGUCUUGACGUCAUACAUGGAAGAUGGUCUACAGCAGUUUGUCAACCUCCUCUCCCAUGCCUGCAAGGAGUUGGAAUGACCAUCAAUCUGAAGAAGACCAACAUCAUGGCAAGGAUGAAUUCAGUGGCAGGACAAAGUACCCAACUCAGAGGUUCUGGAAUGUGUUGGCAUGAACAGCUUGUUCACCACUCUCAGCAAAAGGCUGCUUUAAUGGCUUGGCCACAUCAGGAGAAUGAAACAAGGUCACAUUACCAAGGACCUUGUGGCAGGGCGGAGGGCGGGGCCGGGUCGUGAUCCUACAAACCCGGUCCCGUUUUAGGCCCUGCCACAGACCUACUAUACGGUGAGCUAGUAGAGGGCUCAAGGCCAACUGGAUGCCCACUUCUGUGCUACAAAGACAUCUGCAAGAAAGACAUGAAGCUGUCCAACAUCGACAUCAACACGUGGGAAAGUAGCGCAGACGACCGCUCCGCUUGGCGCCUUGCUGUCAGAAAGGGCAUACAGAAAGCCGAGGAGGCCAGAUGCAAAAACCUUGCUCAAAGAGAACAAGGAGGAAGUAAAAACUUUGGCAGCCUCAGCAGGUGUCACCAUCAUUCAUUUGCAGCAGAUGUCUGACUAUUCAGCCACUCACAAAGGACUCUUCAGGCUACUGCAGAAGAUUGGGUGCCCUCCAUGACUGCUAGCCAUUGUCACCUAAUUCUACAAGGCUGCUGACUUUCGAUUACGUGCUCCAUCAUGGCCUGGCCACGCCCUCCUCCUUGUCACAAUUCACUUGAUGCAUCCUCCAAAAUAUGGAAAAAGAAAGCUGUGAAAUGAAGCUGCAAAGGAUCCUCACAAUUGAGACGGCCUGCAAUGGUGCUUGAUGAUGUGGCAGACAAGGUAUUCAACUUAACUAGGCUGCUGCCUUUCGAUUGAGAAACACCAAUAGUGCAGCUUCAAUUGCAGCACUACUGAACACUUCCUCCUUCCUAGACUAGCAGGAACUGGAUAUUUUUUUCACCCAUUAGAGGGUGCUUAAGACAAAACAAUGAAUUCAUUUUAAUUUCCUAUGGGUUCAGGAAAUUAAAAUGAAUUCAGUCCAGAACACUUCCCGUCUGAGAUUUUGAAAAUCCCACAUUAACUUGAUCACAUAUCCUUAUAGUCUACAGAGAAGAGAAGAACAAAAACUUCAGAGCUGAGGUGUGACAGGAUCUUUUUGGUGCCUUCCUUUGUCACAUUAAUGUCAUCUUUUCUCACCAACCCAUCUUGGUGAAGUUUUCACAACAACAUCCAUAGGCCACAUGUUACUACUGACCUAAAUUACUUUUACCCAGAUUAAGAUUUACUAAGAUUAAGAUUGGGCCUCUUAUCUAGCCACUUUCUUCUGCACUGCAAGGUAUUGAGGUAAACUUUUCACAACUUUGUCUUUAAACUUGCUUACACUCUUUCUUAAGCAGUUCACUUUUCCGAAAGUCUCCAGGUGGAGGUGGUGCUACAUCUGUCUUUUGAGUCAAAAGUGUACCAGGAGUGGGGAUAAAGAGAGAUUCUGUGUCAGAGGACACUAGGAAAAGGGGUCUUGCAUUCAUCACUGCAGAGAAUUUCUCCUUCAGCAGCAUGAAAUCAAGGAUGCAACAGUCAAUACCAAUCAUCCAUUCCCAAUUGCUGACCAUUUAAGAAACAUGGGGAUGACAGAAUACUCAGAUGCAUUGCUGCUCUUUCAGAUAUGCCAGCACAUUCUCAGAACUGAGGCAAGCAUCUUGAGCUUUUGAGGAGCUCCAAAAAGGUUUGUACCCCAAUCUGAAUGUAUUUGCUUGGCUGACCCUCUGAUGGCAAAACCUCCUCAAGGCAUUGAUAAAUCUGCUGGAACUCAUUGUUUCAAUUAUGUUCAUGUGAACAGCAUUUGUGCAAAAUACAUAAAAAAACCAAUACUGCCCACCUCUUGGAAUUGGCCUGACCUCCUCUGGACUUGUGAGCAACCACUUUCUAUGGUCUGAAGACACCCACAUAAUUGAAAGAUGGAGCAACUGUUAACCGUUCUGCAGGCAAAUCAACCAUUUACUGAUGUUCUGUCUCCCACUCCAACAAUUACAAAUACUUCUCCCAGUCAAAGUCCUGUGAUUUCCAGCAGGUUACCCAGAGCUCUAAUCUUUCAGGUGACAGGAAACACAAUAAUGGCAGACAUGCUCCCAGACAGAAAAACAGGAAUUACAAUGACAGAAGGGAAGGACAUAAAAUUGGGAGAUGCAGGGAAACUAAAAGCAUGGACAGUGACAACUUAUCAAAGAUCUGUCACAUGCUUUUUGAAGCCCUAAAGGACCUUAAGUCUGAGGAGCACAUGUCCAGGCAGAAUAGGAACCUUGGGCAUAAUUUCCCAAUUAUGAUUGAUCUUAGCGGUAAGUAGUGUUUUCUACAAGUGAUUUUAUGAGCAUGCUUAUUAUUUACAAGUGCAUCUCAAAAAAAUUUAAUAUCAUUGAAUGUUAAAAUGAAUUUCAGUCUUGCCCGUAAUUUUAUUAAAA